AUUGAACGCUGGCGGCAGGCCUAACACAUGCAGGUCGAGCGGUAGCACAGAGAGCUUGCUCUCGGGUGACGAGUGGCGGACGGGUGAGUAACGUCUGGGAAACUGCCCGAUGGAGGGGGAUAACUACUGGAAACGGUAGCUAAUACCGCAUAACGUCGCAAGACCAAAGUGGGGGACCUUCGGGCCUCACACCAUCGGAUGUGCCCAGAUGGGAUUAGCUAGUAGGUGGGGUAAUGGCUCACCUAGGCGACGAUCCCUAGCUGGUCUGAGAGGAUGACCAGCCACACUGGAACUGAGACACGGUCCAGACUCCUACGGGAGGCAGCAGUGGGGAAUAUUGCACAAUGGGCGCAAGCCUGAUGCAGCCAUGCCGCGUGUAUGAAGAAGGCCUUCGGGUUGUAAAGUACUUUCAGCGGGGAGGAAGGCGGUGGAGUUAAUAGCUUCACCGAUUGACGUUACCCGCAGAAGAAGCACCGGCUAACUCCGUGCCAGCCGCCGCCGUAA
rnacentral:rRNA from 1 species